rnacentral:rRNA from 1 species
UCCGUAGGCGGGCAAUUAAGUCAGAGGUGAAAUCCCACAGCUCAACUGUGGAACUGCCUUUGAUACUGGUUGUCUUGAGUUAUAGUGAAGUAGAUAGAAUAUGUAGUGUAGCGGUGAAAUGCAUAGAUAUUACAUAGAAUACCGAUUGCGAAGGCAGUCUACUAACCGUAUACUGACGCUAAUGGACGAAAGCGUGGGGAGCGAACAGGAUUAGAUACCCUGGUAGUCC